rnacentral:rRNA from 1 species
AAGAGACAUCAGUAGCCGCGGUAAUACGUAGGGUGCAAGCGUUAAUCGGAAUUACUGGGCGUAAAGCGUGCGCAGGCGGUUAUAUAAGACAGAUGUGAAAUCCCCGGGCUCAACCUGGGAACUGCAUUUGUGACUGUAUAGCUAGAGUACGGCAGAGGGGGAUGGAAUUCCGCGUGUAGCAGUGAAAUGCGUAGAUAUGCGGAGGAACACCGAUGGCGAAGGCAAUCCCCUGGGCCUGUACUGACGCUCAUGCACGAAAGCGUGGGGAGCAAACAGGAUUAGAUACCCGGGUAGUCCCUGUCUCUUAUAA